UUGAAAAAGUUUUUUUUUAUUAAGAGUAUAAAUAUCAAAACACACAAAAAUUACCUGUAAUAAUAUGAUGAACAAAACUAACAUGAUUUUAAAGUGCAACGCCACUAGAUAAGCAUAAUUAAUCAUUUAAAGAUCAAACUUAUGAAAAACGUUGAGUAAGAAAUAUUCUCAAACCAGGUGGAUAUUUGGUUGGGGUUUUUGUGCAAAAUUUUACAUAACGGAGUCUGAGAGAUUUUGACAUGCUAUAGGUAAUUCUAUGGAUAAGUGCCUAAAGAUAGAUCUUAUAAAAAUGAACUUGUACAUUUGCUAUCAAUUUACACAUUGUAAUAAUUUUUCACAUUAAUAAUUAAAAAUGAAUACAAAUCUGGGGGCGUGCUGCUUUAACACAUGUCAAAUGUUUUGAUGCUAUAAAGUACAAAACAAGAGGCACCAAUAGAUAAUAUAGAUAUAUGUUCCUGCUUGAAACAGAUCAGGGUAGCAGGGAAUAAAUAAUGAUUCCAACUAGAUUUAUAAAUGUACGACGAGGAAUAUUCUACAAAGUCUUAUUUGGAAAACAGUACACACUUGAAAAGUAAUUAAAAAUCAACACAAGUUAUUUUAUAUGAAACACUCCCUUUAAAGUUUUAAUUUCAAGUAUAACAUUUUUAUACCACACAUUCAUAUUUGUAACAGGAAAUUAUGCCUGGGUACAUGUAGAUGCUACUAUUACUUACUGAAAUUAUUUGUGGUUGCAUACGUAAUAAAUACAUGUAGUUAACGCUAAACUGCUGUACGUCAGUGGACAACUUGUACAAAUGUAUGGUAUAUACUUUUGGGCUGGCUAAAUGUUCAUCUUUAUAUUCCUAAAUAUAUAAUGAACAGUUCCACAAAUGGAAGCUGAACAAGUCAAUUGUAGGAACCCAGCGGGUUAAGGUUUAACUCACAUUGCUUAUUUUACUUUGUUAUUUAUUUUAAUUGAUAUUUAAAAUAUUUGUCAGUAAUGGAAUGCAUGAAGUAAUUAAAAUGCUUUAAAUCAGAAUUAUUAUCUCACUCCACUCAAUCAAUUAUCAAAGUCAUAUAUAAAUAUGGAAAUACAAAGUCUACAAUAUGCUAGAAUGAUAAACGUAUAAAAAUGUAAAAAAGACAAACCACACCGUCUUCAUUAAUAAUAUGAAGAACGUU